CUGGUAAAAAGGUGAAAACCUUUUUUACCCCCAAAACUCUGUGCAAUGGAGCACACGGCUUAUGCAUCGAUGAAGCCCGCGGCAAAAAGCGAUAUGUAAUGAGAUUCGUUAGCCUCGCGAUUCAUCAAAUUGGUGAACACAUACUGGACCUCUUCGGAGGUACUUGCGUUAGAGUGCUAGUUUUAUAUCAAUUGAUCCUGGUAAAAGGUGUUUGAAUCAUUAGGUUCUUACGCCCUAGCCGGUGUAGCCGGAUUCUCUCUGAGAAACCGGAUUGUUCCUGAAGGACUUCGGUCUAUUAGGUCAAUCAUUUUUUUAAACUGGCCUCUAAUGUGAGAGGGUACCCCCUGGAUUUAAGCAUAU
rnacentral:misc_RNA from 1 species